rnacentral:rRNA from 1 species
GACGAACGCUGGCGGCGUGCCUAAUACAUGCAAGUCGAGCGGAUCUCUGAAGGAGCUUGCUCCUGAUGAGGUUAGCGGCGGACGGGUGAGUAACACGUAGGUAACCUGCCUGCAAGCCUGGGAUAACAUCCGGAAACGGAUGCUAAGACCGGAUACGCAGCUUGGUCGCAUGACCAAGCUGGGAAAGACGGAGCAAUCUGUCGCUUGCAGAUGGGCCUGCGGCGCAUUAGCUAGUUGGUGAGGUAACGGCCCACCAAGGCGACGAUGCGUAGCCGACCUGAGAGGGUGAACGGCCACACUGGGACUGAGACACGGCCCAGACUCCUACGGGAGGCAGCAGUAGGGAAUCUUCCCCAAUGGACGCAAGUCUGAUGGAGCAACGCCGCGUGAGUGAGGAAGGCCUUCGGGUCGUAAAGCUCUGUUGCCAGGGAAGAACGCCUAGGAGAGUAACUGCUCUUAGGGUGACGGUACCUGAGAAGAAAGCCCCGGCUAACUACGUGCCAGCAGCCGCCGUAAUAC